GAGCAGUUCUUGACCUUAUACUAAAAUUGGAACAAUGCAGAGAAGCCUUGCCCCUACGCAAGGAUGAGAGAAGGAAAAUAGAAAAAAAUGAUGGAUUA
rnacentral:snRNA from 1 species